GUCCUCGUAGCUUAAACUAAAGCAUUAGUCUUGUAAACUAAAAAUGAGAUAUUGCCUCCAGGACA
rnacentral:tRNA from 1 species